UACGUAGGGUGCGAGCGUUACUCGGAAUUACUGGGCGUAAAGCGUGCGCAGGCGGUUUGCUAAGACCGAUGUGAAAUCCCCGGGCUUAACCUGGGAACUGCAUUGGUGACUGGCAGGCUAGAGUAUGGCAGAGGGGGGUAGAAUUCCACGUGUAGCAGUGAAAUGCGUAGAGAUGUGGAGGAAUACCGAUGGCGAAGGCAGCCCCCUGGGCCAAUACUGACGCUCAUGCACGAAAGCGUGGGGAGCAAACAGG
rnacentral:rRNA from 1 species